UUUUAUGGAGAGUUUGAUCCUGGCUCAGGACGAACGCUGGCGGCGUGCCUAAUACAUGCAAGUCGAGCGGACUAAUGGGAGCUUGCUCCCGUUAGUUAGCGGCGGACGGGUGAGUAACACGUGGGCAACCUACCUGUAAGACUGGGAUAACUUCGGGAAACCGGAGCUAAUACCGGAUGACAUAAAGGAACUCCUGUUCCUUUAUUGAAAGAUGGCCUCGGCUAUCACUUACAGAUGGGCCCGCGGCGCAUUAGCUAGUUGGUGAGGUAACGGCUCACCAAGGCGACGAUGCGUAGCCGACCUGAGAGGGUGAUCGGCCACACUGGGACUGAGACACGGCCCAGACUCCUACGGGAGGCAGCAGU
rnacentral:rRNA from 2 species